GGAGGAGUGGCUGAGCGGUCUAAAGCAGCAGGUUGCUAACCUGCGACUCCGUUAAGGGGUCUCGUGGGUUCGACUCCCACCUCCUCCG
rnacentral:tRNA from 1 species